UAGUAGUAGUAGUAGCAGUAGUAGUAGUAGUAGUAGUAGUAGUAGUAGGAGUAGUAGUAGCAGUUGUAAAUAUUUUUCUUUGUAAUUGUAGUUAUAUUAUAAUAAUGAUAACGGUAAUGAUGAUAAUAAUAAUAGUGAUAAUAAUGAUGAUGAUGAUAAUAAUAAUAAUAAUAAUAAUAAUAAUAAUAAUAAUAAUAAUAAUAAUAAUAAUAAUAAUAAUAAUUUAUGAAUAAUAAUAAUAAUGAUGAUCGUGGUAACAAAACAGCAAGAAGAGUGAGUGUGUGAGGCAGUUUGAAGGUCUGUACAUACGUUCACACAUUUACCAAAACUCGCAAAUUCUCCUUUAUUUUUUGUUUAGUUUCCUGAAAUCUAACUUCGUGAUUCUAUAAAUGCGAACUGAAUUGCGACAAAACUAAAAUGAAAUAGUAAAAUAAGCAAAAAUCCAUCUGGAAAAAAAAAAAACUGUACACAACCACACACACACACACACACACACACACACACACACACAUUUGACGUUCACACAGAGAAAUCUUGUGGUUGUGAUGGUAAAUGUAGUAGUAGUAGUAGUAGUAGUAGUAGUAGUAGUGGAAGUGAUCGUAGUGGUGGUGGUGGUGGUGGUAUCAUAUUUCGAGUUUCAGCAAUAUUAGGUUGAAUUAUUAAUGGCCGUGAAAUGUAUUACACAAAUCAGAAUACUUGGUGUUAGUGAGUAUUAAGGGGUUGAAAUACUGUUGUCAUUCCCCGGGGAGUGCGCGGCGCUAAUCCCGCAGCAUGAUGAAAGGCACCAAGCACCCUUAGAGGAAAUACUAAUUACAGACUUUACAGGCAAUAAGGAGUGAACAAUAGGGUUAAUGCGUCAUUUUAAUACAAUUCAUAAAGGUUUAGCUGCUUACCACCACCACCACCAUCACUACCGCCGCCUCCUCCUCCUCCUCCUCGUCUUCUCAUAUAUCUUCCUUCGUAUGGAUCUUCUGUUUCAUCAUCAUCAUUACCAUUCUUCUUGCAGUGAUCGCCUCUCUCUUCACCCUUCCUCCUCCUCCUCCUCCUCCUCCUCCUCCUCCUCCUCCCUUGCAUUUAGUUUUUCUUCCUUCUCCUUUCCGGCUUUCCCUUACUCUUUUCCUUUUGUUCUUAGCACAUGUCUCUCUGUCUGCCUGUCUGCCUGUCUGUCUUUCUGUCUCGCCGUCGGUCUGUCUGAAUGCCUGCAUGUCUGUCUGUUUUUGUCUUUUUUUUUUGUCAGUGUCUGUCUUUGUCCGUCUGUCUGCCUGUCUCUGUCUGUCUUUCUCUAUGUAUAUAUGUAUGUAUGUAUGUAUGUAUGUAUGUAUGUAUGUGUCACCUACAUUAAUGACUAUAUGCGCCUCAAGUUACAAACUUUAAUUUACGUAAUUCGUCAUGGCGCCUGGGUCGGUCUGUGUGUGUUCAUAUUUCGUGGAAUUUGUAACGAACACUUGAUAGUUAACUUAUGGUAUUACCUCCUAUGCUUAUGAUUCCUUAAUGUACACCAAAUAUAUUAAGUCGUUAGUUUAUAUACUGAGAGGCAUAAAUGAUUAUUUUAUUUAUUUAUUUAUUUAUUUAUUUAUUUGUUUGUGAGUGGUAAAGGCGCGAAGUGUGUGAUGUGCCACAAGUCAGCAAGACACGUAGACUUUCUGUGAACACAUCAAGAAAACUUGCAAACUGAUAAAAGUUCAGACGCAAUGUUAUCAUUAAUACUUCGUUUCUGUAAUGGAAAAUGAAAGGUGAGAGGCUUCUAAAAACACCAACAUACAAAGCGAUUAAUCUUAAAUUGUGAAUUUAGUAUUAUACAAACUAAUCGUGUUGGUUACUCUUCAAGGCAGAAUUAAUCUCUCUCUCUCUCUCUCUCUCUCUCUCUCGUUGCUCUUAAGAGUGAUGUCUACUGGAUCGUGAUAUCUGGCAAUAUCUCCUUGGUUGGAAUUCUAAACCUAACCACAUACAUAUACACAUUUAUUUUCUAGUACUUCCUUUAUAAGUGUGAAUUUUGGAAUUAACACUGGACUGUGAAAAAUGAAAUAUUUAAUAUGUACGUACGUGUUUCUGGUCAGUGUAUGAAACAAAAUAAUGAACAGCAUGUGCACUGGUGGUAUACAGGCUGUAUCGCGAGUUUCUGCAAAGACUGGAAGAGGUGAAAGAACGUGUAAUUGUAAGUAGAAAAUGUUCUAUACACAUAUGCAUUUUAAGGCUUUGUUUACCCGUCAGUGGAGUUGAAAAUGUACGGGACUCGCGGGUGUGCUCUGUGACAUGACGGACACACGGUUGCAUUUAUGGGACUGGCAUUACAGUGGGCAUUUUUUUUAUUAGAUUUUUGUUGCCCUUGGCCAGUGUCCUUCCUACAAAAAAAAAAAAAAAAAAAAGUCACAGCCUCGGAGGUGCCACUUGGUCAAAAUGUGAGUGGAUUGACAUUAGCUGACCAAGACAGGACCAGAAAUUGACACCCACUUGCCACAAUAUCAGAUUGACACAGAAGAGUGAAGGACUGCCUGCUGCCUUGAUGCAAGAAAGUUUAGGCUGCCAUCUCACUCCUGCAUUGACAGCUGAUUUGUGCUGAAGCCCACCAGUCCAGUCAAGCCAGGAGGGACCAGGUGAUCAGUGCUGAGGAGUGGAGAGUGGGCUGGCAGGAAUUAGAAGCUUUAAGAGGUUCUGAAGAAGAGAUGAAGUGGAAGAUGAACCUGGGGGCUGUCAGCUUUGUGGAAUCCUGGUAAAAUUGGAGGAUGAACUCCGCUGCCUGUCAAAUCCGUCCUGAAGUGAAGUGCUCUGACUGAAUUGGGCCUUCCGUCAUCACAGUUGAAGAGAACCCAGCUCUGUCUGAACCCUGCCUGUCAGUUGCUAAACAUUGCAGAAGAUGGAGCCGUGGGUGAACCAAAGCCAUACGUGAACCCGGCAAGAAAGUGGUGUUGCUGUCCUGAGGCUCAGGAGCACCAAUUCACUGUCCACCCUCCUUCAUCAUGGAAAGAUGUGUAUGAACAAAGAAAUUACUUGAUGAAAAAUAAAACUCACUGUAAUUUGUCAAAUUUAAUAAUUGUAUUGUGAAAAAAAAAAUUAAAUUUGCUUAAUAAUUAUGACUCAAUGUAAUCUGCCUUAUAAUUGUUAGCUAGCUUUGUAAAAAAAAAAUAUUUAUAGAGAUCAAUAUCCCUGUAGUGAAGGAGGAAGGACUCAGAAAGGAGUCCUUCCUCCCUCCUUCACUACAAAAUACUUCCUCCCUCCUUCACUACAAAAUACUAAGUUUAAGGCUUCACUACAAAAUACUAAGUUUAAGGUGCGAUUUGUACAUAGAGGCACUGUCCCUCCCUGCAUUCAGGGAGGGUCAAUCUACAGGGAAAUCCAGGAGCCUCUAUGUGCAAAUCACACCUUGAACUUAAAAAAAAAUUGAGUCCUUCCUCCUUCACUACAGGGAUAUUGAGUCCUUCCUCCUUCACUACAGGGAUAUUGAGUCCUUCCUCCUUCACUACAGGGAUAUUGAGUCCUUCCUCCUUCACUACAGGGACAUUGAGUCCUUCCUCCUUCACUACAGGGACAUUGAGUCCUUCCUCCUUCACUACAGGGAUAAUCAUCUGUAUUUGCUUUCUUUUUACACAUUUUUUUUUUUUACAAAUUUCAAGAUAAUUUAAGACAAUAUUUAAAGUAAUAAUUAUACAAUACUAC